rnacentral:rRNA from 1 species
GUCUACGGCCACACCAUCCUGAACACGCCUCAUCUCAUCUUGGAAGCUAAGCAGGGUCGGGCCUGGUUAGUACUUGGAUGGGAGAGAGGGAGAGAGAAUGGGGAGGGGAUGCUU